CUCUGCUGGAGAAUGAAUAGUUCCCACUCCAUCAGAGCAAAGGCUGGGAUUAGUCCUGGAAAGAGCUAGGAGUGAGCCCUUCAUGUGAUCGUCAAGUGAUGACUGUCUGGGUGUAUGUUGAUGGAACAUGAGAUAUAUUUAAUGCCGAUAUCUGGGGCAAGUACUAGAUAGUUACUGAUGAGGUUGGGUUGGAAUUUUGCCUCCAAAUAUCUGAAAAGCAUCAUGUUUGUGCAAGGCAGACUUGGCACAGAGGACCACAGAGGGUCCAUAGACAGGAGGACCCAGUUCACACUGAUCACUAGACUGCAGAGGAGAGGUUGCAGAGACUGAUUCAGUGGUAGAUGUUUGAGACAUGGUAUUUGAAGGUGAUUGUAGGUUCAGGUAUGGCUGACAAAAAUACCUGCACCAGAAACAUCUGUAGCAGCGUCCAGGAGAGGAAGGCAUAAUGUUCAUUGAACAACCGUGGAGUUGUUCUAAAUUAGGUGAGUUCUCCCCGUUUACUGCAAGAUUCAGCAAACUUCCAGGAAUGGACCAGGAUUGGGCAAUACAAAGACUCUAAGCGCCAAGUAGGUAUCAAGAUCUCGUGUCAGUGGGUUGGAAUUCAGGGGAAGGCGUGAACCCCAGGCAAAGAUGGAGGCACAAGGUAGGGAAACUGGGGGAAUAGAGUGCGAUUCAAGGCAGAGGCAGGAGCUUUGGCCAGCUAUUGCUGGGCAGGGCAGGUGGGUAGAAGCAGCCAUGGCUUCCAGGCUAUUCAGGUAACAAGAACUCACUUCAUCCUAGGUUGAAGUUCAGGGGAUUUUGUCCCAAGUCCCACUGAACAUUGAGACAGAGGCUGUUGAGUGACAUUCUAUCUUGAUCAGACUUGGAUCGACCUUGACUCCCCUGUGUAGCAGGCAGUAAAGGGCUAGAGAAGACCAAUGCAAGGGAAUGCCUUUGUGUUUACCCAGUGAAAAAGACAUUUACUGGCUGGAUGUGGCGGCUCACAUUUGUAACUCCAGGGGAGGCUGAGCCAGGGGAUCAAUUAAGACCAAGAGUUCAAGAGUAGCUUGGGCAACAUAGUGAGACCCUUGUCUCUACAAAAAUAAUUAAAAAAAAAAAUAGCUGGAGAGGUGGCAUGCACCUGUGGUCCCAGCUACUCAGGAGACUGAGGCAGAAGGAUUACUUGAGCCUAAGAGGCCAAGGCUAUAGUGAGCUAUGAUCAUGCCAUUGUGCUCCAGCCUGGGUGACAGAAUAAGACCUAAUCUCUAAUAAUUUUUUUUUACAGAUGGGACCUGUAUCUAGAUCCAGAAGGUUGAUAAGGGCAAAUGAAGGCUCUAUCUGACCACUAGUUUUUCCCUCAAAAGGAUCCACAUUUGUCACAAGAGCCACAGAAGGAUUCUUAGGUAGAAGAAACCCAGAGCCCCACCGAGGAACCUCAUCGAAUAGAUCUGCUGGCCCAGAGACCUCAGAUAGGGGAAAUUGAAGGCUGAUCUCCAACCACCUUUCUUUGAUCUAAAUUUCUUCCUGAGGGGCUUGGAGAGCAUCGCAUUCCUGAGCUAAUUAACAAUUUUUUUUCUGCUAAAUCCAAAUUUUUAAGCAAAGCUUCCUUUCCUCAACCAAUUGCAAGUCAGAAAAUCUUUGAAUCCACCUAUGACCUAUAAGCCCCCACUUCAAGAUAUCCCACUCCUAACCCAAAACCAAUGUGUAACCUCCACAUACUGUCUGUAACUUCUGCAUUCCUGAAAUGCACCCCUGCCUUUAAAAACCUUUCCCUGCAAGCCACGGGGGAGGUCAGUUCUUUAGCAAGAGCUGCCCGUAUUCUUUUGCUUGGCGCCCUGCAACUAAACGCCUUCUUUUCUGCCACUGCAAAAGCUCAGUGUGAGUAUCUGGUUUUACUGUGCCCAGCAUGAAUGGACCCCAGUUUGGUUCUACAGUAAUCACAAGCAACAACGUGAUUAGCUGCUUUUGCCAUUGUCUAUGUUUUGGAGAAUGGGAGGAGCCCCCGAAAGUGAUAGGAAUGCUGAGGAACAGGCACAGAGGGAACAAGAACUAAAGGAAAUACAGGGGUCAAAGUAGCAUGCAUUUUGAUAGUCCCGCCAGAGCACUGCUACUGGAAUAAAUGAGCAUCUGCCAUCUUCGGGUUCAUUGCCCCCACAUAAGAUUCAUGUUCUUAGCCAGGCGUUGUGGCUCACACCUGUAACUCCAGAACUUUGGGAGACUGAGGUGGGAGGAUCACUUGAAGCCAGGAGUUCAAGACUAGUCUGGGCAACGUAGUGAGCCCCUCAUCUCUACAAAAAUUAAAUUAGCCAGGUGUGGUGGCGUGUGUCUGUUGUCAUUGUUGAUCAGGAGGCUGAGGUGGCAGGAUUUCUCGAGCCCAGGAGUUUAAGACCAGCUUGAGCAAUAUCAUAAGACCUCAUCUCUACGAAAUAGAAAAAAAAUUUAAAAAUUAGCUAGGCAUGGUGGCCCAUGCCUAUUGUCAUUGCUAAUCAGGAGAGUGAAGCAGGAGGGUUAUUUGAGCCCAGGAAGUCAAAGCUGCAGUGAGCUAUGAUUACACCAUUGCACUGCAGCCUGGGCAACAGAGCGAGACUGUCUCUCAAACAAACAAAGCAACAAAAGGAUUCACGUUCUAAUGAGGAUUAGCCAAUCAAUGCUGCCCGGAUGCCAUAUCUCUACUACUUGGCUAUGCCAGGCUAUUUCUUGAGGGAGAGAAUUUCCCAAAUGAAAAUAAAAAUGCUGCUCUCAAAGGUGAAAUGGACACUGAAUGGCUCAAAACCCUAUAAAUAUCUACUGCACUGGACUCUUCAGUGUAAACACACCCAAGAUGUUCAGAAGUCUCCUGGUAAACAUGGAAGUGGUUGUUGCAUGGCAGGGGUGGGAGGAAGUGAACAUUACUCUUGAACUUAGAGUUAGUCAGGGCAUAAGAAAUGUUAGAUCCUUCCUACCACCCACCUCUCUCUUCUCCCCCAUUUGCUUACCUAUCCACAGCCUUAGCUGCUAUGUGAUAAGCACCCUCAUUCGUCUCAGAGAUGACUUUGUCCCGUGGACCUGUGCCC
rnacentral:lncRNA from 10 species